GCUGGGUGCUGUGGUGUAUGCCUGUAAUCCCAGUUACUUGGGAGGUUGAGGCAGGAAGACUGCAAGUUCUAGGCCAAUCUGGGCAACUUAGCAAGCCCCUGUCUCAA
rnacentral:sRNA from 1 species